AUGAUCCGAUUUGUCCACAUUGUAGAGCUUGUCAAUUAAAAUGAUUUUGUUAGAUUUCAAGUCAAUCGGAUGCUUCUUGGUAUCUAAUCGGAGAAGAUAUAUGUCGAAAAAAAUUGAAAAAAAGUGAACCGGGAACACUUGAUUACAACUUCAUAAAACUUUUUUCCUCCUCCGGGUCGAGACUCGCAGUCCGUCAUAACAACGUCGCCGAUCCAAGUCGACCUUCCGAGUUCCGAUCAAUUAGUCAGCCGUCAGAGGUGUGUUCGCAACUCGGGCGAUCGGAGCUGGUGAGCUCAUCCACGCGGCCACACCCAUCGUCUCUUUCUGCUAUUUGUGCCUCAGAAUGGGAGGAACAAUCUAAGGUAAAUUGGCCCCCUACCUCAUCAAAUGCUUCAAAUAUGUCAAUACUUGGUUGGUGAAUAGUGCAGACUAUUGUUCUUCCCGUAUCAGCCACAUUCUUCACGGCUCGCAUAACAAUAGCAGCUGCUCUUGCAUCCAACCCAGUUGUAGGUUCAUCCAUGAAGAUAAUAGAGGGGUUAGCAACAAGCUCCACUGCUAUUGUAAGCCUCUUUCGCUGUUCAAUAGAUAAACCACUUACGCCAGGAAUUCCGACCAAGCAAUCCAUUAUUUCAUCAAGCUCAAUGAUCUCAAGGACUUCUCUCACAAAUUCCUGUCAAUAUAUGUAGCAGCUAUCAAAAUGAAAUAUUGUCAUAGUAAUUGAGAAGAGUUAAAGAGUAAAUUCAACUUGUGUAUAGAAUGUAAAUCAGUCUUACAAUCUUAGUUUUUGAAUCAAUUUCAGGAUGCAGACGUAGCCAGGCAGAAUGAACCACUGAUUCUUCUAUUGUGAUAUAUGGGGAAUGUACGUCUGUUUGCUCACAG